GAUGAACGCUAGCGGCAGGCUUAAUACAUGCAAGUCGUGGGGCAGCGCAGGUAGCAAUACUGGGCGGCGACCGGCAAACGGGUGCGGAACACGUACACAACCUUCCGAGAAGUGGGGAAUAGCCCAGAGAAAUUUGGAUUAAUACCCCGUAACAUAACGAUGUGGCAUCACAUUGUUAUUAUAGCUUCGGCGCUUCUUGAUGGGUGUGCGGCUGAUUAGAUAGUUGGCGGGGUAACGGCCCACCAAGUCUACGAUCAGUAGCUGAUGUGAGAGCAUGAUCAGCCACACGGGCACUGAGACACGGGCCCGACUCCUACGGGAGGCAGCAGUAAGGAAUAUUGGUCAAUGGACGCAAGUCUGAACCAGCCAUGCCGCGUGAAGGAUUAAGGUCCUCUGGAUUGUAAACUUCUUUUAUCUGGGACGAAAAAAGGCGAUUCUUCGUCACUUGACGGUACCAGAUGAAUAAGCACCGGCUAACUUCGUGCCAGCAGCCGCCGUAACAC
rnacentral:rRNA from 1 species